GCUCCCAGAAUUACAGCAGAUUUAGAGAGACUGUAGCGCAGCCACGUGGUGGAAGAAGAUUUAUGGACAGCAAAAGGAAAGUGAGUUGUGAAGAAGGCCAGGUGUGCUGGCUCAUACCUGUAAUACCAGUACUUUGGAAGGCUGAGGCAGGCUGAUCACCUGAGGUCAGAAGUUCGAGACCAGCCUGGCCAACACAAUGAAACCCUGUCUCUACUAAAAAUCUGAAAAACAACAACAACAACAACAACAACAACAACAACAACAAAAUUAGCCGGGCGUUGUGGCAUAAGACUGUAGUCCCAGCUGCUCGGGGGGCUGAGGCAGGACAAUUGCUUGUUGAAACAGGUGUCCUUUCCUCACUUUGUUUUUGUUUACUUUGUUGAAGAUCGGUUGGCUGUAAGUAUUUGGAUUUAUUUCUGGGUUCUCUAUUCUGUUCCAUUGGUUUAUGCUCCUAUUUUUAUACCAGAGCUUUUGCACUGCAAAAGGAACAGUCAGCAGAGUAAAUAGACAACCCGAAGAACGGGAAAAAAUAUUCACACUCUGUACAUCUGAGAAAGGACUAAUAUCCAGAAUCUACAAUGAACUCAAACAAAUCAACAAGAAAAAACAAACAAUCCCAUCAAAAAGUGGACUAAGG
rnacentral:lncRNA from 1 species